rnacentral:tRNA from 1 species
UAAACUAAAGCCCGCUGGCUUGGGCUCUUUAGUGUUAGUUAAGAGAUUACAGGAUCGAGGCCUGUUAGUUUAU